rnacentral:rRNA from 1 species
GAACGCUGGCGGCGUGCUUAACACAUGCAAGUCGAACGGAAAGGCCCUGCUUUUGUGGGGUGCUCGAGUGGCGAACGGGUGAGUAACACGUGAGUAACCUGCCCUUGACUUUGGGAUAACUUCAGGAAACUGGGGCUAAUACCGGAUAGGAGCUCCUGCUGCAUGGUGGGGGUUGGAAAGUUUCGGCGGUUGGGGAUGGACUCGCGGCUUAUCAGCUUGUUGGUGGGGUAGUGGCUUACCAAGGCUUUGACGGGUAGCCGGCCUGAGAGGGUGACCGGCCACAUUGGGACUGAGAUACGGCCCAGACUCCUACGGGAGGCAGCAGUGGGGAAUAUUGCACAAUGGGCGGAAGCCUGAUGCAGCAACGCCGCGUGCGGGAUGACGGCCUUCGGGUUGUAAACCGCUUUCGCCUGUGACGAAGCGUGAGUGACGGUAAUGGGUAAAGAAGCACCGGCUAACUACGUGCCAGCAGCCGCGGUGAUACGUAGGGUGCGAGCGUUGUCCGGAUUUAUUGGGCGUAAAGGGCUCGUAGGUGGUUGAUCGCGUCGGAAGUGUAAUCUUGGGGCUUAACCCUGAGCGUGCUUUCGAUACGGGUUGACUUGAGGAAGGUAGGGGAGAAUGGAAUUCCUGGUGGAGCGGUGGAAUGCGCAGAUAUCAGGAGGAACACCAGUGGCGAAGGCGGUUCUCUGGGCCUUUCCUGACGCUGAGGAGCGAAAGCGUGGGGAGCGAACAGGCUUAGAUACCCUGGUAGUCCACGCUGUAAACGGUGGGUACUAGGUGUGGGGUCCAUUCCACGGGUUCCGUGCCGUAGCUAACGCUUUAAGUACCCCGCCUGGGGAGUACGGCCGCAAGGCUAAAACUCAAAGGAAUUGACGGGGCCCCGCACAAGCGGCGGAGCAUGCGGAUUAAUUCGAUGCAACGCGUAGAACCUUACCUGGGUUUGACAUGGAUCGGGAGUGCUCAGAGAUGGGUGUGCCUCUUUUGGGGUCGGUUCACAGGUGGUGCAUGGCUGUCGUCAGCUCGUGUCGUGAGAUGUUGGGUUAAGUCCCGCAACGAGCGCAACCCUUGUUCACUGUUGCCAGCACGUUAUGGUGGGGACUCAGUGGAGACCGCCGGGGUCAACUCGGAGGAAGGUGGGGAUGACGUCAAGUCAUCACGCCCCUUAUGUCCAGGGCUUCACGCAUGCUACAAUGGCUGGUACAGAGAGUGGCGAGCCUGUGAGGGUGAGCGAAUCUCGGAAAGCCGGUCUCAGUUCGGAUUGGGGUCUGCAACUCGACCUCAUGAAGUCGGAGUCGCUAGUAAUCGCAGAUCAGCAACGCUGCGGUGAAUACGUUCCCGGGGCUUGUACACACCGCCCGUCAAGUCAUGAAAGUUGGUAACACCCGAAGCCGGUGGCCUAACCGUUGUGGGGGAGCCGUCGAAGGUGGGACUGGUGAUUAGGACU